UGAUGGGUCUGAAUGAAGCUAAUAUAGGGGUCAGGAGUAAUCUUUUGAUGAUGCAGCCUCCUCCUUCUCUUGACAAUGUUUAUAAUAUGGUCCUCAAUGAUGAGAAGCAAAGACAAAUUCAGUCUUCCUCUCACUUUGAUCCAGCCUCUGUCUCUUUCAAUGUACAUACAAACAGGCAGCCUGUUGGAUUUAACAAGACCACAGUGUCUAUUCCUCCUCCUCCUUUUAGAUAGAGAGUCAAUUUUGACCAACAAAGAGUCAAUUUUGACCAAGCCAGGGGACCUUUAUUUUGUAGAUACUGUAAAAAAUCUGGACACUUAAUUGAUAAGUGCUUCAAGAUCCAUGGGUAUCCAAAAAGUGCCACCUUUAACAAGGGAAGGAGGCCUGCUGCUGCUCAUCUGAGUACUAGUCUGGAUUCUUCUAUUUCUGAUGGUCUGUUAUCUGUUCCUCAAGGGAAUCCUCCUGCUGGUCAUCACUCUAUUGCAAGACUGGAUGGCCAAAGCUCUGUGAUACCAGGGUUGAGCAGACCUGAUUAUGACCAGUUGAUGAACUUGUUACACCAGACCAAGUUGGGGGAAUCCACUGCUCAAACUCCUCCUCCCAUAUAUGCUGCAAACUUUGCUGGUAGACCUGAUUAUGACCAGUUGAUGAACUUGUUACACCAGACCAAGUUGGGGGAAUCCACUGCUCAAACUCCUCCUCCCAUAUUUGCUGCAAACUUUGCUGGUACUAUGUUAACUGAAAACCCUGUAUCUGAUUCCAAAAUUUGCUUGCUUACUUACAUUA
rnacentral:lncRNA from 1 species